UCAGGAUGAACGCUAGCUACAGGCUUAACACAUGCAAGUCGAGGGGCAGCAUGAAGUUGCUUGCAAACUUGAUGGCGACCGGCGCACGGGUGGGUAACGCGUAUCCAACCUUCCCUAUACUAGAGGAUAGCCCGGCGAAAGUCGGAUUAAUACUCUAUGUUCUUCGUAGAAGACAUCUGAAACUGAAGCAAAGGUUUACCGGUAUAGGAUGGGGGAUGCGUCUGAUUAGGUUGUUGGCGGGGUAACGGCCCACCAAGCCCACGAUCAGUAGGGGUUCUGAGAGGAAGGUCCCCCACAUUGGAACUGAGACACGGUCCAAACUCCUACGGGAGGCAGCAGUGAGGAAUAUUGGUCAAUGGACGAGAGUCUGAACCAGCCAAGUAGCGUGCAGGAUGACGGCCCUAUGGGUUGUAAACUGCUUUUAUACAGGGAUAAAGUGACGUACGUGUACGUUUUUGUAGGUACUGUAUGAAUAAGGACCGGCUAAUUCCGUGCCAGCAGCCGC
rnacentral:rRNA from 1 species